GGACCUCAGUGCUGGUGAUGGUGAGCCCAUGACCCUCCUUCUCUCUUGUUCUCUGCUCUUGUGGAGGCUAGUUCCAGCCGUUCAGUUCCACUGAAGCAACUGCUUUGGCAGACGAAGCUCUCUCUGCCUGAAAUUUCUUACUUUCUUCCUUCUUUGGUUCCCAUUUCACCACUCCAUGGUUCCUCCUCCAGGAAGCCUUCCUUGUCUGGUUUUCUUCCUUCUAACUCUCCCCAGCCCUGUCUAAAUCUUACCCUUCUUC
rnacentral:lncRNA from 1 species